rnacentral:rRNA from 1 species
GACGAACCGUGCGAACGUUAUUCGGAAUCAUUGGGCUUAAAGCGCGUGUAGGCGGGUCCGUGCGUCUGUCGCUGAAAUCCCCCGGCUCAACCGGGGAACGGGCGCGGAUACGACGGGUCUGGAGGGGCAUAGGGGGACCUGGAACUUCCGGUGGAGCGGUGAAAUGCGUUGAGAUCGGAAGGAACGCCCGUGGCGAAAGCGAGGUCCUGGAUGCCUACUGACGCUGAGACGCGAAAGCCAGGGGAGCGAACGGG